rnacentral:rRNA from 1 species
UACAGAGGUCCCAAGCGUUGUUCGGAUUCAUUGGGCGUAAAGGGUGCGUAGGUGGCGCGCUAAGUCAGGUGUGAAAUUUCGGAGCUUAACUCCGAAACUGCAUUUGAUACUGGCGUGCUUGAGGACUGGAGAGGAGACUGGAAUUUACGGUGUAGCAGUGAAAUGCGCAGAUAUCAGGAGGAACACCGGUGGCGAAGGCGGGUCUCUGGGCCGAAACUGACGCUGAGGAGCGAAAGCGUGGGGAGCAAACAGG